rnacentral:rRNA from 1 species
GGAAUCUUGCGCAAUGGGCGAAAGCCUGACGCAGCCACGCCGCGUGCCGGAUGAAGGCCCUAUGGGUUGUAAACGGCUUUUAAGGAGGAAGAACGUACGAGUUUCGACUUGUAGUGACGGUACUCCUUGAAUAAGCACCGGCUACCUCCGUGCCAGCAGCCGCGGUAAUACGGAGGGUGCAAGCGUUGUCCGGAAUCAUUGGGUGUAAAGGGUGCGUAGGCGGGCGUCUAAGUCUGGGGUGAAAUCUUGCCGCUUAACGGUAAAAUGGCCUUGGAUACUGGACGUCUUGAGUGUAGAAGAGGUAAGUGGAAUUCGUAGUGUAGCGGUGAAAUGCAUAGAUAUUACGAAGAACAUCAGUGGCGAAGGCGGCUUACUGGUCUACAACUGACGCUGAGGCACGAAAGCGUGGGGAGCGA